rnacentral:rRNA from 1 species
CCUACGGGAGACAGCAGUGAGGAAUAUUGGUCAAUGGCCGGAAGGCUGAACCAGCCAAGUCGCGUGAGGGACGACUGCCCUAUGGGUUGUAAACCUCUUUUAUAAGGGAAGAAUAAAUGCUACGUGUAGCAUGAUGCCUGUACCUUAUGAAUAAGCAUCGGCUAACCCCGUGCCAGCAGCCGCGGUAAUACGGAGGAUGCGAGCGUUAUCCGGAUUUAUUGGGUUAAAAGGGUGCGUAGGCGGUUUUUUAAGUUAGUGGUAAAACGUCGGGGCUUCACCUUGAUUUGCCAUUAAUACUGUAAGACUCGAGUUCAGACGAGGUAGGCGGAAUUAGUUAAGUAGCGGUGAAAUGCUUAGAUAUAACUUAGAACUCCGAUAGCGAAGGCAGCUUACCAGCCUACGACUGACGCUGAAGCGCGAGAGCGUGGGUAGCGAACAGGAUUAGAUACCCCAGUAGUC